rnacentral:rRNA from 1 species
UACGUAGGGUGCGAGCGUUAAUCGGAAUUACUGGGCGUAAAGCGUGCGCAGGCGGUUUUGUAAGCCAGAUGUGAAAUCCCCGGGCUUAACCUGGGAAUGGCAUUUGGGACUGCAAGGCUGGAGUUUGGCAGAGGAGACUGGAAUUCCUGGUGUAGCAGUGAAAUGCGUAGAUAUCAGGAGGAAUACCGAUGGCGAAGGCAGGUCUCUGGGCUAUAACUGACGCUCAUGCACGAAAGCGUGGGAG